rnacentral:rRNA from 1 species
GUGUCAGCCGCCGCGGUAAAACGUAGGGGACAAGCGUUAUCCGGAUUUACUGGGCGUAAAGCGCCCGUAGGCGGCCUGUCAAGUUGGAUGUGAAAGCUCCUGGCUUAACUGGGAGAGGUCAUUCAAAACUGACAGGCUAGAGGAUGGAAGAGGAGAGCGGAAUUCCCGGUGUAGUGGUGGAAUGCGUAGAGAUCGGGAGGAACACCAGUGGCGAAAGCGGCUCUCUGGUCCGUACCUGACGCUGAGGGGCGAAAGCGUGGGGAGCGAACGGGAUUAGAUACCCUCGUAGUCC